CUGGGACCGGCCUCAUCAUACUCCUGCUUGCUGAUCCACAUCUGCUGGAAGGUGGAGAGGGAGGCCAGGAUGGAGCCGCCGAUCCAGACGGAGUAUUUACGCUCAGGAGGGGCGAUGAUCUGCAGGCAAGAAGGAAAUCAGGUGGUGUGGAGGUGGCUGACUGAUUGUCGUACCUUGAUCUUCAUGGUGCUGGGAGCCAGAGCUGUGAUCUCCUUCUGCAUGCGGUCAGCGAUACCGGGGUACAUGGUGGUGCCACCGGACAGCACGUUGUUGGCGUACAGGUCCUUACGGAUGUCGAUGUCACACUUCAUGAUGCUGUUGUAGGCGGUUUCAUGGAUACCAGCGGACUCCAUACCUGUUCGGGUGCACAACAGAGAGACUCAGGUUACACAUGACCAAAGGCUGCUACACUGUGUUCGCACAGGUGCAGUUCAGGCUACGCACCGAUGAAGGAGGGCUGGAACAGGGUCUCAGGGCAGCGGAAACGCUCGUUGCCGAUGGUGAUGACCUGACCGUCGGGCAGCUCGUAGCUCUUCUCCAGAGAGGAGGAGGAGGCGGCGGUGGCCAUCUCGUUCUCAAAGUCCAGAGCCACGUAGCAAAGCUUCUCCUUGAUGUCACGCACGAUCUCACGCUCAGCUGGAAACAGGAAGUGAAGAUCAGACUCAGGAAACACACAAACUCACACCUGGUUUUCAGCGCCUAACAGGGUUUAGAGUCUGAUGUGAAGUGUUUACCGGUGGUGACGAAGGAGUAGCCACGCUCGGUGAGGAUCUUCAUGAGGUAGUCGGUCAAAUCGCGACCAGCCAGGUCCAGACGCAUGAUGGCGUGAGGCAGGGCGUAGCCCUCAUAGAUGGGCACAUUGUGGGUCACACCAUCACCAGAGUCCAGCACAAUACCUGACAAAAACAAGUUUUGGCCACAUUUUCAGCAUACAAUUAGAGACACCGAAGGACGCUCGUUUUUAAAAGCAAUAUAUCCCUAAAGGACCGAUGGAAAUAAUUCUUAGUUGAACCUCUACACAUAACACCUAACACAGAAGUUAUUAUCCAGUGCUGCGAUCAUCAUGAACACAUGGAACGUUCAGUGUAAGCACAGACUCACCGGUGGUACGACCGGAGGCGUAGAGGGACAGCACGGCCUGGAUGGCCACGUACAUGGCAGGGACGUUGAAGGUCUCAAACAUGAUCUGAGUCAUCUUCUCCCUGUUGGCUUUGGGGUUGAGCGGGGCCUCCGUCAGCAGGGUGGGGUGCUCCUCGGGGGCCACGCGCAGCUCGUUGUAGAAGGUGUGGUGCCAGAUCUUCUCCAUGUCGUCCCAGUUGGUGAUGAUGCCGUGCUCAAUGGGGUACUUCAGGGUCAGGAUGCCCCUCUUGCUCUGGGCCUCGUCACCCACGUAGGAGUCCUUCUGACCCAUACCGACCAUCACACCCUGAGGGGAGGAGGAAACACAGGUGGAAAGCAGUCGAACUAGUGGUCCUACAGCUGACUGGAUCGGUCCUGGACCGGUUCACAGGGGGGAGUCACCACAGACAGCUCUCGUGUACCUGAUGACGGGGGCGGCCGACGAUGGAGGGGAACACGGCCCUGGGGGCGUCGUCUCCGGCAAAGCCAGCCUUCACCAGGCCGGAGCCGUUGUCGCACACGAGGGCGGUGGUCUCAUCGUCGUCACACAUGUCUGCGGGUUCUGCAGGAGAAGAAUCAGAGCUGGUGAGCUGGACCCUGAGGACCGUUGAGGAGCCGCUGUAGCUGUGAAAGUGGAUCACGGUGGAGGAUCCCCGUCAGCCAAGACGUCCAAAUCUAUUUCUGCCCCUGGACAACAAACGGGAGGAAGUCGUCCCUGAUGCAGGCCAGCUUCCUGGGCCUGCGGGCUCAGGUUUCUGCCACUUUCGAGGUCUGAGGGCUCCCAUGUGUGACGCCCGUCACUCAGUCCGAGUUUUACCUCCGGGGCCGCGGCCAGCGAGGAGCACAGCGAGUCCUCCAUGGUCUCUGGCAGGAUGGAGGCGCUCUCCCGGGCCACCACCGCCACCAGGCCGCUGUUCUGGGAGAAAAACACGGGCAGGUUGGCGCAGCAGCCUCCUCCACGCACCGAAUCACCUGGACGGACAGACGGGGACACGUCAGACAUGUUUAGAGUUGUCAUCGAGUGUCAUCGAGUGAGAGAAGGUUCAGGUUUGUUAUUCAAACGUCUUCCUGUCGCAGGCUCCUUUCAGUUUUCUUUCCAAUUGUUUAAAUCCCAAACUUUCAUAGAAGUCACUGAUUUGCUUGAAAGCAUGUUAAAAAAAUGUGCUACACAAUGUGUUAGUUUCCUUAAAUUGAAUUGAAUUAAAGAGGUUAUAACCCACCCCCAGUUUGCACAAACAGGGGAAAAACAAUUUUUGAAGGGGAAAAGAAAAAAAUGCAAAGACUGUUUUUUUUUUUGUUUGUUUUUAACUGUGAAAAAUUUGGCAGGCAAACAUUUUCUCUUCAUCAGUUUUCUUGGUGUUGGGUUUUGAAAUACAGAUUUUGAGCCACAGGAGGCUGAAGUCCACCAUAACUCCUCAAGAAGUGACAGCUAAGUUAGAAACGAUGUGUGAUGAGAAAUUAAAAGUCACCUCAACUCACAUGCAGGAAAACAUGACUGCUGUCAGUGCGGCACUGCGGCCUCUAGUGGCUGAAGUGAGUACUACACACCCGCCUGGACGUUACUGGAAGAACUUUGGCAUCUCACGUCUUAAUGAUCAUUUAAGCCUCAUAUUCUGUCACACCUUCACUUUCCAUUCUGUAAAGCAUCAGCACACUGAUCACACUAAUCUGAGCCCGAGAUGAAUCCACAGACCCUUUUUUCCGUUUCUCACCGG